rnacentral:lncRNA from 1 species
CAGGUAUUGGUGGGUAGGAUGGCUCAAUCUUCUGUUAGGUCCAAGAUUACAACCAAUCCAAGAUUACAACCAAUUGAUUACAGCAUUACCACAAAAAUGGAGGUAGGAGGAGGAGGUAGGGAACUGGUCUGUCUGCCCAAUAUAAAGGAUCCAAAAUAGCCAAAUAGGAAACUAUAACCGUUUCAUUUGAGGACCAGGAUGUUGACAGCUGUGGCAUACAGAUUGCAAAAUAACCGGGAAGAGAUGUUUGAUGUACCGAUUCCAUGGCACAGGGUGUAUGAGUUGAUAUAUAGAAACAGGAUUGUGUCAAGGCACGGACCUGGGGAAGGGUACCAAACAAUUUCUGCAGCAUUGAAGAUCUCCAAGAAUACAGUUGGCUCCAUCAUUCUUAAAUGGAAGAAGAUUGGAACCACGAAGACUCUUCCUAGAGCUGGCUGCCCGGCUAAACUGAGCAAUCUCUGUGGAGAUGGGAGAAUCUUCCAAAAGGACAUCCAUUUCUGCAGCAUUCCACCAAUCAGGCCUUUAUGGUAGAGUGGCCAGACAGAAGCCACUCCUCAGUAAAAGGCACAUGACAGCAUGUCAAAAAAAAAAACUGUUCUUGCUUUGUCAUUAUGCGGUAUUGUGUGUAGAUUGAUGAGGAGAGAAAAAAACUAUUGAAUCCAUUUUAGAAUAAGGCUGUAACGUAACAAAAUGUGGAAAAAGUCAAGGGGUCUGAAUACUUUCUGUAUGCACUGUAUGAAUCCUAUUGUUUUUCUCUUAAAGAUUAUCAUAGUUGAAUGUCCAGUGUGCUGGCUGGGUGAAUUUUGCACUUGUGGAAAUUCCCUUAGUUCACUUGUCUGCUAACCCAAGAGCACUUCAACGUUUUGAGAGGAAAAUACGUAUUUAAACCCCAUGUUUGGUCCAUAGUAAGGCUUCUACAGUAGCAGGAUAGCUCCUUUGUAUUGAAUGUGUACUAAAUAAAGGUACAGAAUUGCUGUGUCAACGUUUUUGUUUGGAUUUGUCUUUCAACGUUUGGGAAUUUGUGAAA